rfam:Neurospora crassa OR74A unplaced genomic scaffold supercont12.8, whole genome shotgun sequence.
UAACCUCGGAUUAGGUAGGAAUACCUGCUAAAUUUAAAUAUAUUAAUAAGUAGAGGAAAAGAAAUUAAUAGGGAUUGCCCUAAUAAUGGCGAGUAAAGUGGUAAUAAUUUAAAUUUAAAAUUUAGCUUCGGUCCGAAUUGUAAUUUAUAGAGGAAACUUUUAGUGAGGCACCUUCUAAAUCCCUUAGAAUAGAGCGCUAUAGAAGGUAAGAACCUUGUAUAGUCGGAUGCUAAUUUAAUAUAAAGUUCCUUUAACGAAUUGAAUAAUUUAGGAAUAUUAUUUAAAAUAGGAGGUAAAUUUCUUUUAAAGUUAAAUACCGGUUAGAGACUAAUAGUAUAUAAAUAGAGUAAUUAAAAAAUAAAAAGUAUUUUGAAAAGAGGGUUAAAUAGUAUAUAAAAUUAUUAAAAGGGAAGUGUUUGUAAUUAGACUUAUAUUAUUCCAAUUAUCCGGUAUUUUUACCGGUAUAUUUGGGACGGUUUAGGCUAAUAUUAAUUUUAGUAGGGGGAUAAAGGUCCGGAGAAUAUAGCUCCUCCGGGAGUAUUAUAGCCCUAGGCGUAAUGCCUUUGUUGGGACCGAGGUUCGUGUAUUUGUAAGGAUGCUAGUAUAAUAGUUAUUAAUAACCUAUUUUAAAAUACGGAUUAAGGAGUUAAGGUUUUACGCGAGUAUUUAAGUAUAAAACUUAUAUAUAUAAUAAAAAUAAAUAUAGGUAAAAGUUUCAAUAUAUUAUUAACCAAUUUUAAUAUAUUCGGAUAGAUUUAAGUAAGAGCGUUAAACUUUGGACUUAAAAGAUAGUAAAUUAUACUUAAAUAGGGUGAAGCUAGAGGAAAUUCUAAUAGAAGCUUGUAGCGGUUUUAAUGUAUAAAUCGAUUGUUAAAUUUAAAUAUAGGAGCGAAAGAUUAAUCGAACUAUUUAAUAGUUAAUUACCGCCGAAAUUUCCCUUAAAAUAGUAGUAUUAUUCUUUAGUUUUAUAAGGUAAAGCGAAUAAUUAGGGAUUUGGGGGCGCUUUUUAACUUUUAUUUAUUUUUAAAUUUUAAAUAUAUAAGAAGCCCUUAUUAUUUAAUUAAAUAUGGGUAUUCGAAUGUAUUAAUAUUAGUAGGCUAUUUUUGGUAAAUAGAAUUAAUAAUAUAAAAUAAACCGAACGUAGGGUUAAGGUACUAGAGUAGACGUUUAUUAAAUACUAUAAAAGGCGUUAAUAUAUUUUAAUAGUAGGAUGGUAACUAUAGAAGUUGGAAUUUACUAAGGAUUGUAUAAUAAUUUACUUAUUAAAUAUACUAGCUUUAAAAAUAGAUAGCGCUUAAGCGUUCUACCUAUACUCUAUUUUUAGGGUAGAAAUAAUACUUUAAGAAGUAGGCGGCCGUAGAGGUUAGUAAUAAAGCCUAGGGCGUAAAUUCGGAUUAAACGGCCUUUAAUAUAGAUUUUAAUAAUAAUAAUAAAUAUUUUAAUAAGAAUUUAAAGGACCGAAGUAGGGAAAAGUUCUAUAUAAAUAGCAGUUGGAUAUAGGUUAAUCGAUUUUAAACUAUAGGGAAGUUCCGUUUUAAAGGGGUAUUUGUACCUUAUAUAGCGAAAGGGAAGUUGGUUAAUAUUCUAGUACCUAAAUGUAGGUUUUGCACAGUAAUGUAAUUGAAUACGGAGAUAACGGCGGGGGCCCUAAGUAAAAUUCUCUUUUUUUUUUAAUAGUCUAUUAUUUUAAAAAUAAUUUAUUUGGAAAUAGGGUUUAAUAGCCGGAAGAGCCCGAUAUUUCUAUCGGGUCCGGUACGCUUUCGAUAUCCCUUAAAAAUCUAUAGGAGGGAAUAAUUCUUACGCUAAGUCGUAUUUAUAACUAUAGUAGGUCUCUAAGGUAAAUAGCCUCUAAUUGAUAGAAUAAUAUAGAUAAGGGAAGUCGGUAAAAUAGAUCUAUAAUUUUAAGAAAAGGAUUAGUUCUAAGGGUUAGGUAUAUCGGGCUUUAGGUAAAUGCCCUAGGAGUAGAUCGCUACUAAUUGGGCAACUAGCCGGUAGCUUUUAGCAUCCGGGUAUAGAAGCCUUUAAUAAACUUCGGUUGUCCGGCGUACGUUUAAUAACUAAUUUAGAAUUGGUACGGAUAAGGGGAAUUUAAUUAUUUAAUUAAAAUAUAGUAUUAUAAUAGCUAAAAAGUAGUAUUAAUAUAAUGUAAUUUUUACUUAGUAUUCUAAAUAUUAAAGUGAAGAAAUUCAAUUAAGUGUAGGUAAACGGCGGGAGUAAUUAUAAUUCUCUUAAAGUAGUUAAAUACUUUAUUAUUUAAUUAGUAAUAUAUAUAAAUAGAUUAAUAAAAUUCCUACUAUCCCUAUUUAUUAUUUAAUAAAACUAUAGUUAAGGGAAUAGGUUUAAUAGAAUUAGUAGAGAAAGAAGACCCUAUUAAAUUUAAUUUUAAUUUAAUAUUAUAAAAAGAUAUAGGAGGUAUAGAAUAGGUAAAAACUUUAGUGCUAGUAAAAUACUACUACUCCUAUUAUUUUUUUACUUAUUUAAUUAAGCGGGGCUAAAUUUUCAUCCAACUUCUAAUUUUAAGGUCCUUCGCAGGCCGACCCGGAUUAAAGAUAUUAUUAGGUAGGGAGUUUAGUUGGGGCGGUAUAUUUAUUAAACUAUAACGCAAGUAUCCUAAGGAGGGCUUAUAGAAAAUAGAAAUCUCUAAUAGAAUAAAAGGGUAAAAGUCCCCUUAAUUUUAAUUUUUAAUAUAAAUAUAAAUUAUAAAAGUAUAGCCUAUUAAUCCUUUAAUCCCUCGAAAUUUAAAGCUAGAAGUACUAAAAAAGUUACUACAAGGAUAAUUAGCUUAUAGCGGCUAAAUAUUUAUAGCAAUAUUGCUUUUUAAUUUUUUAAUAUCAGCUCUUCCUAUUAUACUAAAAUAGAAUUCAGUAAGCGUUAGAUUAUUUACCUACUAAUAGGGAAUAUAAAUUAGGUUUAGACUAUUAUAAGAUAGGUUAGUUUUACCCUACUAAUAACCUUAUUACAAUAGUAAUUAAAUUUAGUACGAAAGGAACCGCUUAUUUAGAUAAUUAGUUUUUAUAAUUGUUCGACCGGGUAGUAUUACAAUAUUACUAUUUAUUAGAUAAUAACUAAACGCUUUUAAAUUAGAAUUUAUAUUAGAAUACAAUAAUACUUCUAAUAUAUUAUAAAUAUAUAAAAAUAGGCUCCGGCCUCGUAUUUUAGUAAGCGAUUCCUCUAUUGGCCUUAAAGUAGCUAGUGGUAAUUUGCGUAUUAUAAUUUUAAUAUAUAUUAAAUUAAAUCCUUUAUAGAUAAUUUAAAUAUACGAAAGGGUCCUAUAAAUAGUAGAAUAGCUUUAUUAUUACAAUCUGCUAAGAAUAAACCCUCCUUCGCUUAAAUUUCC